ACGCUCGUCAGCCGACUCCCGUGCGCGAACUCUUGCGUCUCACUGCCCGUGGACCCCGCACGCCAGACCCAUCCCAACAGAAGCCCCGACAUCUUUGCGUGUCGACCCCUCCAACCCCUCCCCUACGCUCGGGAUCUCCAGCUAACUUAGAUGUGUGCCAUCUUUGCCGAUAAAAGGGACGGCACCCCCUCGACCACGCGCACCAGCACCUCAAAUUGGGAUAUUCACCACCGAGAGAGAGAACAUGGAGCCGCCGGAAGCCUCCACUGUCGUCCGGCGUGCACUGCACUAAUUGGUGCCCUAUGCGCGAUCGGGAGAAUCUGUCCAAGCUCUAGGAUCAUGUUGAAGGUGGUGGCUAGGAGGGAGUGCGACCUGGGCGCCGCCAAUUUGACGUCGUGGCCGCAAAUACGGGGUGCGCCGUGGGCAGGGAAAGGCACUGCGUGAUCACUGUUUGAGGGCUCCAUGGCCAUGGGAAGGGAUCCUCGCUGCUGCCAUGGGAGAAGAGAAGAGAGGGAUGGCUCCACAGCAGCGCACCAAGGAGAGCCCGAGCAGAGGAGGAGAGAUGGCGUGGGGGAAGAGAAGGGGGAGGGCAGGGGCUGCCAUUUAUAGGGUCAAGCUCUGGACAUGUCAGACUGCACCAACAGGUGGCAGGUGCUGCAGUGACGACCUUGGACGACGUGUUUUGGCAUUUUUUGCUUGGAAUCGGAUCUUGGUUGCUGCACAAAAUAUCUUCCUUGAUCUAUACUCUACAAUUAUUGUAAAGGACUUGAGGUGAUUCGGGCACUGGUUAGAGAGUUAUAGACCCACAAAAAUUGGUUUGUCAGUGGGUUAGAAAACAGUGGAAACUUGUGAAAACUGAAUGUCAAAGCAUGUCAAACGGAAUCGGAUGAAUGCGAUCUUUUAAUAUAUUGUCCCCCUAUUAGUUAUUAACAACUUUUAUAUUUGGUGAAA